rnacentral:sRNA from 1 species
UUACAGCCUCAAUAAAUUUGAAUUAAAGUUGUUUUUUUUUCUUUUCAAACUUUGUCCAGAUCAAGACCAGCACCAAACAGUACUACAUUCUAGAGUUUUCUUCUUCAUGUCUCCCAGCCAAUCGUGGCCAGGACAUUAUCUGCUGUGAGUCCAACAAAAGAGUGGGAGAAAGCCAGAAGCCAGGCAUUAUCAAUAACCCAGUCUGGACAUGUGAUCAAUUACCUCAGUUGCGGCCCCUGUUUAGUGACAUAGAUUUCCUAGAAGAUCAACACAUACUCAUCGCUGUCAAAGGUGCCGGAGAAGAUCAUGAGUCUUAUGGGGAGUGGUGAUA